GCCAAGCUGGCUCAAAGAGCAAGCAGCCACCUCUGCAAGCGUGCUCCUGGGGCAGUUGGACCAGCCUUUAACCUCACCCACUCAAAGAAGCAUGGAUGGCCAGGUUCCAACAGCCUGAGUGGCUGCCACCUGAUGGCUGAUGGAGCAGAGUCCUGAGGAAAAGCAGAUGGCACUGCUUUGUAUGCCCUUCUUUGUCUCUUUUGAUCUUUUCCAUUUAAAGUCUGUUUUAUCGGAGACUAGGAUUGCAACCCCUGCUUUUUUUUUUUUCUCUUCAUUUGCUUGGUAAAUAUUCCUCCAUCCCUUUAUUUUGAGCCUGUGUGUGUCUUUGCAUGUGAGAUUGGUCUCCUGAAUACAGCACACCAAUGGGUCUUGAGUGUUUUUCCAACUUGCCAGUCUGUGUCUUUUAACUGGGACAUUUAGCCUAUUUACAUUUAAGGUUAAUAUUGUUACAUGUGAAAUUUAUCCUGCCAUGAUGUUGCUAGCUAUUUAUUUUUCCCAUUAGUUAAUGCAGUUUCUUUAUAGUGUUGAUGGUCAUUACAACUUGGUAUGUUUUAGUAGUGGCUCAUACUGUUUGUCCCUUCCCAUGUUUAGUGCUUCCUUCGGAGCUCUUGCAAGGCAAGAAUGUGGAUUUAUUUCUUGUAAGGCAAAUAUGUGGAUUUCUAUCUGGGUGCUGUAGUCUAUGGCCUCUACCCCAAGAGUCAUUACUUUUUAAAAUGCAAUUCAAAUUACCAUAAAACAUUUACAGCCUAGGGAAAGGCUUACGGCAUUAGAAUCCUUAUUUAUAGGAUUAUUUUGUGUUUUUUUGAGAUAUGGUCUCUGUCUGUCAUCCAGGCAGAAGUGCAGUGGCUUGGUCAUAAUUCACUGCAGCCCUGAACUCUGAGUCCAAGCCAUCCUUGUGCCUUAGUCUCCCAACUAGUUGGAUCUACAAGCAUAAGUCACCAUGCCUGGCUAAUUUAAAAAAAAAUUUUUUUUGUCGAGAUUAUGUUAUCACCAUGUUGCUCUGGCUGGUUUCAAAUCCCUGGCCUCAAGUAAUCUUUCUGCCACAGCCUCCUAAAGUGCUGGGAUUACAGGCAUGAGCCACCAUGCCUAGCAUAGAGUAUUACAUUAUUUUCAAAGUCUUAUUCUAAGAGACAUUUAUUGACUUUGGCCUAAAUAACUCAAUAUUAUAUCUCUGAAACUUUUUUUGACAAAUUUUGGGGCAUGAUGAUGAGAAAAAUGGGUUUGAAACUUUCUAAUAAGAGUUAACUUAGAGCCAUUUAAGGAGGAACAAACACAAAUUAUCAGAAAAAUAAAAGAAAGGUCAAAUGCAAAAGUUCUGUGGCAAAGAUGAUGAUAGUAAAGAAUAUAUGUUUGUGACUUAUGGUGGCUUUUAAUUUGUUCUUGAAUUUCUGAGUAAUUUAAAGGUUAACAUUUAAAGAAUCUACAUUAUAGAUAACAUUUUAUUGCAAGUAAAUGUAUUUCAAAAUUUGUUAUUGGUUUUGUAUGAGAUUAUUCUCAGCCUACUUCAUUUUCAAGCUACAUUAUUUUAUUAAUGUAGUUUGAUGAUCUUACAGCAGAGCUGGAAGCUGGAUCUUCAAAAUAUGUCUGUUUGAUUCAGAACAAUCAAGGUAUUCAGCAGGAGUUAGUACGUAUGAAAAAAAUACAACAGGAAUGCAAAAAACUUGAGGAGGCUAAAAAGAUGUUGGAAGAAGUAAUAUUAAAUCUUAAAAAAUGUAUGGAAAGUACUCAUUGGUAAAGACACAUUGGUGAAGUACAAAAAUAUAAACUGCAUCUAGAAGAAAGGGCAAUGCAGGCAAUGGAAAAAUUAGUAGAAAUCCCCUUACAGGUUAGUUUGUACAAUCAGGUAAGUUUAUUAAUAAUCUGCUUUUAUUUAUUUCACUGAAAAUUAUAUUUUGGAGAUAUAUAUAUAUUUAUCUUGUUUCCUCUGCCUCUCUUAUAGUAAUUUGCCUUGUAGAGUUCUAGCUAAAAGGUGGCAUCUGUUUUUACUUUCAUAUGUUUAAAUUUCCAUCAUUAUAACAAAACUGAUUUUUCACAGUAAUGAUUCUCAGUGUGGAGUCAGUUGAUUAUUAAGAUCCAUUGGCAUAAGGUUACAUCCUCUGCCUAUAAAAAUCCUGGAAGAAAACCCAGGAAGUAUUCAUCUGGACAUUGCAGUUGGCAAUGAAUUUAUGGUUAACCUGCCGACGCCCAGGGGCUCCUCCAUCUCCACCGUGUUUUCCUCGGGCUGAAGCCCAAAGUCCCCCAUUUUCUCCUCAAACGGCUCACAGAGCCACACGCAGGAGGACAGCGUGUGGACUCAGUGGCUGACCUGGGAAGCCACAUCUGAAGGAACUGCUGGGUGACUAUGGCCAUAAGUCAAUCAAAGCAGACUUUCCCUGGCUUGCUGCGCUACACUGAUUUUGUUUUCAUAUUUUCAAGGAAGCAGAAGGAGGUCCUAGGAAAUUUGCCCAAUGCAGAUGCUGACAAGAGUGGUAACAUGAAAAAGAUUACCCAGAAGGAAAACAAGAGCUAUUUUCUAAACAUCUGAAAUCUGUGUAGGCUUUUGGAAAAGUGAAACUAGAUGCAAAGCACAAUGAUAUAAUUCUGGCAAUUUCCACUGACACAGAACUCAGUCAAUCUGAAUUAAUCUAAGGGUUAUAAGGAAAAUGGCACUCCAAGAAACACCUAUUAACAUCACUCAGCUGCUGUGAAAUAGGCUUACAGGCAACAUGGAAUGUCAAUUAUCCAAUGUUUAAAGUCAGUGAUACAGAUUAGACUACAAUUUCUAUGUCUCAUAAAGUCUUCUUUAAAAGACUGACAGAUGAUUUAUCUCAUAUGUAGACAAUGAUUCUCAGCAGUUAACUAGCACAACUUGCCAAUAUCAAUUGCUUGAGAAAAUCAGAUAAUUGCUUGAGAAAAUUAGGACAUUGCUUGAGGAAGUUAGGUAAUUAAAGAAAUUACUUUUUUUUUUAAGAAUAGUUUAAUAUUUUGGCAAGCAGACUUUAAAGUAGAUUGAUAAUAUUUUAAAGCCUACUUUUAAAGAAGUAGCAAUAUAACAUGUUUAAUUAUGAAAAAUAAUAAUGUUGGAAACAAUUCAAUUUUCUAUCACAGAGAAUUUCACAAAUAUAGAAAUACCAUCUCAAUAAUUAGAAGAAGUAGCAGCAAUUUCUGUCCUUUUUAUGCAAGUUACUCCUAGUCCAUUUAUUUGGUUUUAAAUAGUGUUUUUAAAAUUUGUUUUCAAACAAGGCUAAUCAUAAAUAAUAGAUUAUAUUUUACAAUAGUUGAAGAUAACAAAAAAUAAGUGCCAUUUAAAAAAUUGUAUUAGAUUGUUUAAAAAUGUUGUGGGUACAUAGUAUGUGUAUGUAUCUGUGGGGUCCAUGAGAUGUUUUGAUACAGGCAUGCAUUGUGAAAUAAGCACAUCUUGGGGAAUGGGGUAUCCCUCCCCUCAAGCAUUUAUCCUUCAAGUUAUAAAAAAUUCAAUUACAGUCUUAGUUAUUUAAAAAUGUACAAUUAAAUUAUUAUUGAAUAUAGUC
rnacentral:lncRNA from 1 species